GACGAACCGUGCGAACGUUGUUCGGAUUCACUGGGCUUAAAGGGCGCGUAGGCGGGCGGUCAAGUCAGGGGUGAAAUCUUUCAGCUCAACUGGAAAAGUGCCUCUGAUACUGACUGUCUUGAGGGAGGUAGGGGCAUGUGGAACUUCCGGUGGAGCGGUGAAAUGCGUAGAUAUCGGAAGGAACGCCGGUGGCGAAAGCGACGUGCUGGACCUCUUCUGACGCUGAGGCGCGAAAGCUAGGGGAGCAAACGGG
rnacentral:rRNA from 1 species